CUCAGGAUGAACGCUAGCGACAGGCUUAACACAUGCAAGUCGAGGGGCAGCGGGGCGGCAGGCUUGCCUGCCGCCGCCGGCGACCGGCGCACGGGUGAGUAACACGUAUGCAACCUGCCCGUGGCAGGGGGAUAAGCGGGGGAAACCCCGUCUAAUACCGCGUAACGCGGCCUAGGGACAUCCCAAGGCCGCCAAAGGGAGCAAUCCCGGCCACGGAUGGGCAUGCGGCGCAUUAGCUAGUCGGCGGGGUAACGGCCCACCGAGGCGACGAUGCGUAGGGGUUCUGAGAGGAAGGCCCCCCACACUGGUACUGAGACACGGACCAGACUCCUACGGGAGGCAGCAGUGAGGAAUAUUGGUCAAUGGGCGCGAGCCUGAACCAGCCAAGUCGCGUGAGGGAAUAAGGCCCUAUGGGUCGUAAACCUCUUUUGUCAGGGAGCAAAGGCGUCCACGAGUGGACGAAAGGAGAGUACCUGAAGAAAAAGCAUCGGCUAACUCCGUGCCAGCAGCCGCGGUAAUACGGAGGAUGCGAGCGUUAUCCGGAUUUAUUGGGUUUAAAGGGUGCGUAGGCGGAGUGUCAAG
rnacentral:rRNA from 1 species